rnacentral:rRNA from 1 species
AUUGAACGCUGGCGGCAUGCUUUACACAUGCAAGUCGAACGGUAACAGGGUGCUUGCACCGCUGACGAGUGGCGAACGGGUGAGUAAUGCGUCGGAACGUGCCGAGUAGUGGGGGAUAACGCAGCGAAAGUUGUGCUAAUACCGCAUACGUACUGAGGUAGAAAGUGGGGGACCUUCGGGCCUCACGCUAUUCGAGCGGCCGACGUCUGAUUAGCUAGUAGGUGAGGUAAAGGCUCACCUAGGCGACGAUCAGUAGCGGGUCUGAGAGGAUGAUCCGCCACACUGGGACUGAGACACGGCCCAGACUCCUACGGGAGGCAGCAGUGGGGAAUUUUGGACAAUGGGCGAAAGCCUGAUCCAGCCAUGCCGCGUGUCUGAAGAAGGCCUUCGGGUUGUAAAGGACUUUUGUCGGGGAGGAAAUCCCCAGCGCUAAUACCGCUGGGGGAUGACAGUACCUGAAGAAUAAGCACCGGCUAACUACGUGCCAGCCGCCGCAGUAAAAC